UUUACCUACGGGAGGCAGCAGUGGGGAAUAUUGCACAAUGGGGGAAACCCUGAUGCAGCGACGCCGCGUGAGUGAAGAAGUAUUUCGGUACGUAAAGCUCUAUCAGCAGGGAAGAAAAUGACGGUACCUGACUAAGAAGCCCCGGCUAACUACGUGCCAGCAGCCGCGGUAAUACGUAGGGGGCAAGCGUUAUCCGGAUUUAUUGGGUUUAAAGGGUGCGUAGGCGGGCUGUUAAGUCAGCGGUAAAAGCCCGGGGCUCAACCCCGGCGAGCCGUUGAAACUGGCUGUCUUGAGAUGUCGAGAGG
rnacentral:rRNA from 1 species